UUCAACCAAGCGCGGGUAAACGGCGGGAGU
rnacentral:snRNA from 1 species